ACAGGGAGGGGGCACAGGGAGUGAGAACAGAUGAACAGCCAUGCAGACCCAGCAGGACUCAAGCACUUAAAAAAUGCUAGUUAUCAGCAUCGCGUGAAAUUCGGCAAUAUGAAUGGAAUUACUCCGCAAAAUAUGAACAGGGAGCUAACACAUUUUUGCUUGUAAUUUUACAGGAGUAUUUAGUAUUCAGAGUUAUUAUUCCCGUUGCCAGAAAAUUCUGUUUCUCUGGUGUGCUUAUCGUAUCUUUUAUCAUUGUUAUUAUUUUUAAUAUUACAGUACAUUCCCUUCCUUAUCUUUAAUGCUGUAACAGAAACCCGUGGGCUUUACCAUAACAUCCAGGAGCCCUUGGCAAUCAUCAGAUUCCUGAGAUCCCCAGACCCAGAGACCCCUCCCCUCCCCGGCCCCCGCAGCCCUGUGGCUUUUAUUUUAACACUUUCUUGCCCUGGGCCUGGAGGACUAGAGAGUUCACUUUGCCCCAGAAGACAGUUUGGAAACAUCUGUCCACAGGAACAGGUUAUUUUUUUUUUUCACAUAAAACAACUGAUGGCAGAAGAUCUA